GACGAACGCUGGCGGCGUGCUUAACACAUGCAAGUCGAACGGAAAGGCCCUUUUGGGGGUACUCGAGUGGCGAACGGGUGAGUAACACGUGAGUAACCUGCCCUUGACUUCGGGAUAACUUCAGGAAACUGGGGCUAAUACCGGAUAGGAAUCCUUGCCGCAUGGUGGGGGUUGGAAAGCUUCGGCGGUUUUGGAUGGACUCGCGGCUUAUCAGCCUGUUGGUGGGGUAGUGGCUUACCAAGGCUUUGACGGGUAGCCGGCCUGAGAGGGCGACCGGCCACAUUGGGGCUGAGAUACGGGCCAGACUCCUACGGGGGGCAGCAGUGGGGAAUAUUGCACAAUGGGCGGAAGCCUGAUGCAGCAAAGCCGCGUGCGGGAUGACGGCCUUCGGGUUGUAAACCGCUUUCAGCAGGUGCGAAGCUUUUGUGACGGUACCUGCAGAAGGAGCACCGGCUAACUACGUG
rnacentral:rRNA from 1 species